UGAAAGAUGACGAAUAGGGUAGACAG
rnacentral:piRNA from 1 species